GAAAUGCGAUAAGUAAUGUGAAUUGCAGAAUUCAGUGAAUCAUCGAAUCUUUGAACGCACCUUGCGCCCCUUGGUAUUCCGAGGGGCAUGCCUGUUUGAGUGUCAUUAAAUUCUCAAACUCACUUUGGUUUCUUUCCAAUUGUGAUGUUUGGAUUGUUGGGGGCUGCUGGCCUUGACAGGUCGGCUCCUCUUAAAUGCAUUAGCAGGACUUCUCAUUGCCUCUGCGCAUGAUGUGAUAAUUAUCACUCAUCAAUAGCACGCAUGAAUAGAGUCCAGCUCUCUAAUCGUCCGCAAGGACAAUUUGACAAUUUGACCUCAAAUCAGGUAGGACUACCCGCUGAACUUAA
rnacentral:misc_RNA from 1 species